rnacentral:rRNA from 1 species
GGCGAACGGGUGAGUAACACGUGGGUAAUCUGCCCUGCACCCUGGGAUAAGCCUGGGAAACUGGGUCUAAUACUGGAUAUGACCUUUCUCCUUAUGGGGUUUGGUGGAAAGUUUUUCGGUGUAGGAUGAGCCCGCGGCCUAUCAGCUCGUUGGUGGGGUGAUGGCCUACCAAGGCGACGACGGGUAGCCGGCCUGAGAGGGUGAUCGGCCACAUUGGGACUGAGAUACGGCCCAG